GUGCUGCCGCCGGCGCCUGCGCAGCUGGAGUUCGCGCCGCCCGAGUGCGUGCUCGGCCGCCCGCCCGCGCCCGCCUGGGACGCUUGGGCGGCCGGCGUGUUUCUAUACGUGUUCCUUACUGGGCUAUCGCCAUUCCUGGACGAGUCGAUAGAAGAGACCACGGCGAACAUAAUAAAGUGCGACUACUGCUUCCCGCCGGAGCACUGGGGCGGCGUGAGCGAGCGCGCGCAGCAGCUGAUCCGCGGCCUGCUGGAGCCCGCGCCCGCCGCGCGCCUGCCGCUGCGGGACGCGCUCGCCGACCCCUGGUUCGAUGAGGUGAGCCCGGCACUAGUGUCUCACUGAAGCGCGACGCCGCUUCCCGCCGGGGCACUGGGGCGGCGUGAGCGAGCGCGCGCAGCAGCUGAUCCGCGGCCUGCUGGAGCCCGCGCCCGCCGCGCGCCUGCCGCUGCGGGACGCGCUCGCCGACCCCUGGUUCGAUGAGGUGAGCCCGGCACUAGUGUCUCACUGAAGCGCGACGCCGCUUCCCGCCGGGGCACUGGGGCGGCGUGAGCGAGCGCGCGCAGCAGCUGAUCCGCGGCCUGCUGGAGCCCGCGCCCGCCGCGCGCCUGCCGCUGCGGGACGCGCUCGCCGACCCCUGGUUCGAUGAGGUGAGCCCGGCACUAGUGUCUCACUGAAGCGCGACGCCGCUUCCCGCCGGGGCACUGGGGCGGCGUGAGCGAGCGCGCGCAGCAGCUGAUCCGCGGCCUGCUGGAGCCCGCGCCCGCCGCGCGCCUGCCGCUGCGGGACGCGCUCGCCGACCCCUGGUUCGAUGAGGUGAGCCCGGCACUAGUGUCUCACUGAAGCGCGACGCCGCUUCCCGCCGGGGCACUGGGGCGGCGUGAGCGAGCGCGCGCAGCAGCUGAUCCGCGGCCUGCUGGAGCCCGCGCCCGCCGCGCGCCUGCCGCUGCGGGACGCGCUCGCCGACCCCUGGUUCGAUGAGGUGAGCCCGGCACUAGUGUCUCACUGAAGCGCGACGCCGCUUCCCGCCGGGGCACUGGGGCGGCGUGAGCGAGCGCGCGCAGCAGCUGAUCCGCGGCCUGCUGGAGCCCGCGCCCGCCGCGCGCCUGCCGCUGCGGGACGCGCUCGCCGACCCCUGGUUCGAUGAGGUGAGCCCGGCACUAGUGUCUCACUGAAGCGCGACGCCGCUUCCCGCCGGGGCACUGGGGCGGCGUGAGCGAGCGCGCGCAGCAGCUGAUCCGCGGCCUGCUGGAGCCCGCGCCCGCCGCGCGCCUGCCGCUGCGGGACGCGCUCGCCGACCCCUGGUUCGAUGAGGUGAGCCCGGCACUAGUGUCUCACUGAAGCGCGACGCCGCUUCCCGCCGGGGCACUGGGGCGGCGUGAGCGAGCGCGCGCAGCAGCUGAUCCGCGGCCUGCUGGAGCCCGCGCCCGCCGCGCGCCUGCCGCUGCGGGACGCGCUCGCCGACCCCUGGUUCGAUGAGGUGAGCCCGGCACUAGUGUCUCACUGAAGCGCGACGCCGCUUCCCGCCGGGGCACUGGGGCGGCGUGAGCGAGCGCGCGCAGCAGCUGAUCCGCGGCCUGCUGGAGCCCGCGCCCGCCGCGCGCCUGCCGCUGCGGGACGCGCUCGCCGACCCCUGGUUCGAUGAGGCGCCACCCACACCACUAUCAGCGACCCAACUGAAGACUUUCCUGGACCGACGAAGACCGGCGGGGCACGGCAACGCGCUGCACUCGCUGCGGUCGCCCGACACCUGACCGCGCGCGCGCGUCCUUUCCGCCUCUAUCACUUGCCUCGACGCACGCGCACACACCGAUACCACUGUGGUACAGUACGCAUCUACAGCGAACAUUAUGUAAGCACGAUUUUAUUCAUCAUCAUCAUCAUCAUUUCAGCCACAGGACGUCCACUGCUGAACAUAGGCCUCCCCCAAUGACUUCCACAUCGCACGGUUGGUAGCGGCCUGCAUCCAGCGCCUUCCCGCUACCUUUAUCAGGUCGUCGAUUUUAUUCAUCAGUCAUUUAAUACCCAGCACAGUUUUUUUUAUAAUACUCAAAAUUGUUAAAUUAAUUAACUUUAUUUGCAUAAAUCAGGGAUUGGUAAAGGUGACUCAUCUCAUCUACGAGAUACUACUGUGCGAAGCUAUAUGUUGUGUAUCUAUACACACGUUACUUUCAACUAUUACCCAAGUAAUUGUUACAUGUCCAUGAUUCACUGUUGUAAUCUAAACUGGCAUACAUAACUCUCUCAAUGUCAUACUGUCACGGCCCAAUUUCUGACACCUCAAGAAUUGUAAGUUGGCAAUAAA